rnacentral:lncRNA from 1 species
GAGCUUUCAAGACCCGCUGGUAAAAUUGAAGACUAAUCCAUUAAGGCUUAGCAACGAAGAAAGAAUCUGCACCUUGGGAGGAACAGCUAAGUAUCAUGGCCAAAACUUGUUCCUGGGGUUCCUUUUUCCCUUGAGGGUUUCUUGCUUAUGGUGCUGUUGUCCCCACAUUAAUCUCUGCAGAACACUCCUCCAAUAAUGUUUAAUCCAAAGGUAAACUCAACUGUCUCCUUUAUUUUCCAAAACACACAGCAUGGCUGUGACCAAACUGGAACUAUUUUUUUUUUUUAGGCAGGGUCUCGCUCUGUUCCCCAGGCUGGAGUACACUGGCACAAUUAUAACUCACUACAGCUUUGAACUCCUAGACUCAAGUAAUCCUCCCACCUCAGCCUCCCGAGUGGCUGGAACUACAGGCAUAUGCCACCACACUCAGCUAAUUUUUUCUGGAGAAGGGUUCUCACUCAGUUGCCCAGGCUGGCCUCGAACUUCAGGCCUCAAGCAAUCCCCCCACCUUGGCCUCCCAAAGCCUGAGAUUCCAGGCAUGAGCCACUGUGCCUUGCAAACUAGAACUUUUAAACAAAAUUUUUAGGCACCAAAAAGUUUGGGAUAACAAAAGAAAACUACAUACUAAGGAGAACAUAAAAAUGGACUAUCUGGUUUGCAAGACUCAACUCUUAACUGUGUUUCUGCCUCUAUUGGAGGAAAUCAUCAACCUCUACCACUUAGCCAUAGGCCAGGUCCCAGAGAGUGAUGAGUCUUCCCUUUCUAUCUAUCUCAGGCUCCCUUUUUCCAUCCAGGGACCCCUUUUCCCUGGAUAAGAGAUAGGGGGAAUGUCUGCCCCUUCAGCAGACAUUCAAGCCCUCCUUGGCAGAGCCUUAUUCUAUGACCUCUGCAAGCUCAGGAGGCACCUGGAUUGCUCAGCAGCCCCAGGAGACACACCAGAGCAUAAGGGGUGUUGAUGUUUGGGACACUGUAGGAAAGUCAGGACCAAACCCAAAAUGCUUUCUUAUAACGAUGCUUCUUACCCUUAUUUGUGUUUAUAACAUAUUUGCAAAUGUUAAGACUCUUAUCAGUGUAUUUGAAGAAAUUAAAAAUGAACAAGUCAACAACAAUUAUAAAACAAUCAUUUUGGUUGGGCGCCAGGGCUCAGGCCUGUAAUCCCAGCACUUUGGGAGGCUGAGGUGGGCAGAUCACUUGAGGCCAGGAGUUUAAGACCAGCCUGGGCAACAUGGCA